rnacentral:tRNA from 2 species
UCUGUAGCUCAGUUGGUAGAGCAGAGGACUGAAAAUCCUCGUGUCGAUGGUUCGAUUCCGUCCGGA